UGAGGAAUAUUGGGCAAUGCCCGCAAGGGUGACCCAGCAACGCCGCGUGGAGGAUGAAUGUCGUAAGAUUGUAAACUCCUGUUAGAGGGGAAGAAUAACUAAGUUUGGAGCUUAGUAUGACUGUACCCUCAGAGAAAGCCCCGGCUAACUACGUGCCAGCAGCCGCGGUAAUACGUAGGGGGCAAGCGUUGUCCGGAUUUACUGGGUGUAAAGGGCGCGCAGGCGGAAUGGAAAGUCAGUGGUGAAAUCCUACAGCUUAACUGUAGAACUGCCUUUGAUACUUUCAUUCUUGAGUUCGGGAGAGAGAGACGGAAUUCCAGGUGUAGUGGUGAAAUACGUAGAUAUCUGGAAGAACACCAGUUGCGAAGGCGGUCUCUUGGUCCGACACUGACGCUGAGGCGCGAAAGCGUGGGGAGCAAACA
rnacentral:rRNA from 1 species